UACGUAGGUGGCAAGCGUUGUCCGGAUUUACUGGGCGUAAAGAGCGCGCAGGCGGUCGUUCAAGUCGCGUGUGAAAGCCCCCGGCUCAACUGGGGAGGGUCACGCGAUACUGAUCGACUCGAAGGCAGGAGAGGGAAGUGGAAUUCCCGGUGUAGUGGUGAAAUGCGUAGAUUAUCGGGAGGAACACCAGUGGCGAAGGCGACUUCCUGGCCUGCUCUUGACGCUGAGGCGCGAAAGCUAGGGGAGCAAACGGGG
rnacentral:rRNA from 1 species